rnacentral:rRNA from 1 species
AAAGGGGGCUCCAGAAAGCAACGCGAUGCUGGAGAUUUUUGCAGUUAAAAAGCUCGUAGUUGCAUUUCUGGAUGUGAGGUUAGUGACCGUGGGCUUGGAUGAAUGUUCCGUCGCUUUCUACGUGUCGAGCUAGCCAUCCUGAACUGUCGCAUUCUGAUUAAACGUGGCGCGGCUCGAAUUACUGUAAACAAAAUAUAGUGUUCAAAGCAGGCCAUUAAGGAGCCGGAUAUUUCUCAUGGGAUAAUAACAUACGACUGGGGCGCUAUGCUGCUGGAUUUGUACAUGUCACAGAUGAUGAAUAUGGACAGAUGGGGGAAUUCGUAUAGAGCAGCUACAGGCGAAAUUCUGGGAAUUGCGAAAGACAAAAUACUGCGUGGGCAUUUACCAGGGGGGGUUUGCUCAACUCACAAACGAAAGUUAGAGGAUCGCAGAUGAAAAGAUACCAUCUCAGGGAUAAAAGUAAAGGAGGCCUACGCGCUAUUGUCCGACGCUUGUUUUAGACUUGGACAGCAGCGCAUGAGAAAUCAAAGUCUUUGGGUUCCGGGGGGAGAAUAGACGCAAUGCUGAAACUUAAAGAAACUCACCGAAGGCCCCCCCGCUGGGCUGCAGACAGCGGCUUAAUUUGAUUCACCACGGGAA